AAAAUAAAAGCAAACGAAUGAUAAGUGAGAAAAAUAACAAAUAAAUGUUCCCAACUUAUAUUAAUUAUGAUGAAUGACAUAGUGACUGUUGUUAAAAUGGGACAAACACAGAAUAGUGCACUGGGUUAGUGUUUUGUCUCUGUUCUAUGUGCCAGACGCUCAUGCUGCUCUACAAAGAAGCCACACAAUGACCUGGACAACAUAGGAUAGUAAUGAAUUUCUCAAAAAAAAACAUUGAAUCAGUUUGGUCAUAAACCACCCUUAUCCUGUAUUUCUUAGCCUGAUAAAGCUUCUCUUAAAAAGGAGCUGAAUGACAUUUUACAGUACACCAUGAUCCUGAUGAAGUGAGAGGACCUACUGAAACACUGAGGAUUCAAAUAAACAGCAUUGCCAACAGAAUACAGAGUGGGAUGAUGUGCCACCUGCCAUAAAAUGCCACAAACAUUCAGUGGCAUCUCAGACACUGCUGAGAUGAAAAAUGAAAUUGCUCAGUUUUCUUUAAAAAUGUAAGGCUUCCAUCCAACACAACCUCAAAGGCAACAGGCAACCUUAGAUUCUUCCCAACGCCCAUACCCCCCAACCAGAUAUUAUUUUCCACUGUAAACAAAGAAUUUCAAAGCAGACUUAUUUAAAACCCUCAAGAUUUCAAAGAACUGUUAUAAGGAAUCCUGUCACUAAUCUCCAAGUGUCAUCAAAUACAAAAACUUGAAUUCUCUUGGGUACUUCACUGCAAGUCCUUACAACACAAGGCCAACAGAAGCACACACUAUGAGUAACUGCUCACAAAAGAUGAGAUCAGUUCAAGUAUAAUACUAUGAUAAAUCCUGAAAUGCAUUUUCAAGUAGCUACCAAAGACGCAUUAAAAAGUGGCACAACUCCUUAGUACUUGUUUACUACUUUUCUGCCCUAAAGACCAGAGCAGAGUAGACUAAACCUAUGCCCCUGGGUUCUGCAAGACAGGUUACUGAGGUGAUGGUUAUAAACAUUAUGAGGAUUACCAACGCUAACAGGAAUCUAAGAAAGUCACAUGCAUCUAAUCUUUGGUUGAAUAAAUGAAGCAAAACAAAAAAUUCCUUGCAAACACACUGUCAGUUCUGAUCAACAAAGCUGCUGUUCAGCUUGCCCACCGUUUAAAAGGGGCAUCUGAAAAAUCAAAAUUCUAUUGUUAAAGCCAAAUUACUUAAUUUAAAAGUAAAAAGUGUUCACACAAUAAUGGAAGUAUGACGUGAACCAUGUAUCAGUGUGAAUUUCAGCAUGACUGCAGUAGUAUAAAUGAAUCAGCUCAUAUAUUGAGCUGUGCUACGUGCUCAACAGUUCUUCCUAAAAGAAGACACAUUCCAGUCAUUACUCUCUGGCUACUUACUCAGCUGUGAUUUAAUAAAAGAAUUUUAAUCAAGUUUGAGCUCAUUAUGCCAAAAACCUGGUUAGCUUUCUCUGCAGCUAUGCACGUUCUAUUUUAGCUUUCUUACUGGCAAGCAAAACCUCUUUCUGCAGGUCAGGGGUAAGGGUAGAGUGAGGGGAUGCUCUUCCAGCUGUCACUAUCUCCUCAUAUCGGCACAUGAAACACAGACACUUAAAACCUUGGAACUUUUCCUCUGCAAAUAAAGAGUGACAAAAACAAAUUCUUAAUUUCUCUUCACCUAUGCUCACAGUAUGAUUCAUUUUAUCCACUGAGGCUUCUCCCUGAAGGUCUGUGGAUAUGACAUGGUCUACUGUAACUACUUCCAAUUAGGUUUGAAUGUCCAAAAUCCUGUUCCAGAAUCUAUAUUCACAUAACAAAAUAACACCCCAAUAUCAAGAAUGCAGAGUGGGAGAUGAAAACCCAAGACACUCCAACACAUAGACAAUUUACGGACUUUUCUAUGCCAUGGCAGAUUUGCCUUGUUACUCUACAGAAAACAGCAGCUCAGCCAUACAGCAUACUGAACAUAAACAUCUCUUAGCAUCAGUUCCUGUCAGAGACUUAGUUUUUCAUUAUUUGAGUGAUGAUUAAUUAGUAUCUAAUGUUUACCAUGAGUCCAACAUCAGACAAAAGCAGUAUUGUUAUUCCUCAUAUAAGUUACAGAAACAGAUGCUUCUAACUGCUUGAAUCCUGAUUUUCCCCAUACAUCUUGUGCUUCAGUACAUACACAACAUCCUAACUGGGUUUCCCCCGGGCCAAUCAGACUGCACAGGUGUUAAUCAACAGAAAUGUAACAUAAUAGAUUAUUAAAAUAAUUUAAUUUAAAAGAAGCAUCUAUCAAGUGACAGCGUUAGGAAAAAAAAAAAAUCUCAAUUAUCUCAUACCCUGUCAUGAAACUGCAAUGUUUUCUUAGCUUUAGUUAUAAUUAAAACAUGUGUCUUCCAAUUUCAAACUGAAAUUCUGAUUUUUAACCAAAUGAAUCAGUCCAGUUGCUCUAUCAAUUAGAGUUAUUUUCAUUAUUGAUUUAUCUUAAUUACUUCUUGAAGAUACGUGAUAAUAAGUGAAGUCCCACUGCCAGUUAUGAGCAACUGCGACUCAGAGGAACAGAUUUACGCCCUUACAGCCCUAGAUUCAUAGAUACAAGAUAAUCCCCUAAGAUUAGAGCUCCAGGAUUGGCGUAUGAUGCCGUUUUAACUAAGUGACCUUACUGAGGCACACUUUUGGCUCAGCUGGGUGGUGCCUGCCCUGCACAGACACCAGUGACCCUGGCUGUACCUGGGUGUGUGAGCUGCAGCUGGUACACAACAGGGAGUGCUGGCCCAUGCUCUCAAGACAGGGACCAGCAGAGCACCAGGUGCCUCCAUGGAACCCUAUGGCACAGCUACACCCACCCCACCUCACUGCACUGUUACACUGCACCCAAACACAGCAGCAGAGGCAAGCAAAGUUCCGUUUCACCACAUACACCAAGCACUACUAAAAUCUCAGAAAAGGUAUCAAGACGUCUUACUGACUUUAUCCACAUCUGGAGCACACCUUUGGAUAAGUGUGUGUAGAAAACACACCUCAUAAACCCACAUAUAUCCAAGGAGAAGUUGAGAACUCACUGCCCACACGUUCAGGUAGGCACCAAGCCUCAGUUUGUCAACUGCUGUUGACCAGUAUUGCAAAAUUGUAAACGCAGGUCUGAUUCCAGAUGCACAAACUGUCUAUGAACUGUAGGACUGGCUGCAUUUAGAAGAGCCCUUCUAUUCUGGAUUCUGGAACAGCAUGAUUUAUUGAAUGCAACAUACAACAUUCCUCUGGACUUGCAGUGAGAAUGUAUUAACUGCAGAGUAGCUAAAUCAUAUGGCACUAACAGUGCCAUUACAAUCACAAGCUUAAUAUCCCAGGUCAACACUCAGCACAGCUGCGGACACAAGGCUGACCAAACAGUGUCCCUCCUGGGGAGGGUGAGGAGGACAAAUCUGUCUGUCCCUGCAAUUUUGCUCAAAUUCUCAUCCCCCAUUGGAUGCAUAAAUAGGGUACUUUUAUGUCCUAUUCACUAAUACUGUGCUGAGUGCUCUGAUUGGUCAAAUCUGUUCUGUGCAUACAUUUGCAGAAUAUAUCUUGGUAGGAAGCGUACUUGGUUAGUACAAAACCCUUCUGGGUAUCAGGCAGAAGAACAAGACAUGGCCUAGGCCUCAUUUGACAUUCCCACCCCCAAUGCCACAGCAACACAAACCACAAGACCUCCAUCCAAUUUCCACACUUGCAUCUGGAAGCACCAUGGCAUAUUGAGCUUUGCAUUUUCUUCACUACUUUAUGCUUCCAACAACCAGUAUUGAGCAAGAACAGUUAGAUGAACACCAAGAAGAAAGGGUGUAACUUCAUUUAAUCAGAUGUGGCCCAAAAGAGUUACUAAAAUCCAAAGUAAAAUACACAAGCUUUCCAUUUCAACAUAUAUUACAGAUUAUGAAGUAGUAGGGUGUGGAUUUUGAAACCCUUUCUGCUUUAAUUGGUAAUUCUUGAAAUGUUUAGCAGGUAGCUGUGGCUUCUUCUCAGCUAAUGAAAACAGCAGUGAGAACUGGGAGUGGUGUCUGCUCAGAGCUAUUUGAACUCCUUCCAAUACUGCUCAUGAAACUAUCUUGGACUUUCCAAAAGGAAAGUCAAAGUUAAGAUGAGAAAACCGUAUCAAAAGAAAUGCAGAAAUCCUCCAAGCUCCUGGAAGUAUUCCCUCACUCCACAGUGAAAUUCUUUACUUCACUUACAGCCUAGAACUGUUCAAGGGUAACAUACGAUUUUCACAACAUACUUCAGAGAAGAAAAAUUACCAGCAAUUCAUUACAGUUCUCUUUUCAAAUAAAAACUCAAAACAAAUCAAGUAAAAGGAGGGAGAAGAUGUGCAAUGUUUUUCAGGGUAAAUCCCAUUCAUUGAAGUAAGAGGUUUCCACUGAGUAAAUUACAUUUUAGUUUAAACAAAUACAAAAAUACGACAGUCUGCACCGAACUCAGAUACUCCGCUAUCUCCCACAGUUUUCUUCAUUCCUUAAAUUCUUUCCUUUUCCAUGGUAUCCUUCUACUCAAACAAGGCACCACAUCUUUGCCAGCCUUUCUUUAAAAGAAAAAGCAACACUUCCAUAAUGCCACCUCUGAGCCUUAACACACUGAAGCAGAAAUCACAAGUGUUUCCUGGGUAAGAAACCAUUAACCAUUUCCACAAAUAGGUGAAAUAAAAUAGUCACUGGUGUAAGUAAUUUCCAAUUUGGCAGGCUCCACUGAGCACAACUGUCAAAUUUAAUAUUUGUGUCCUCAGGUAACAAUGCUGCCACUGCUGACUUUGCACUUCAUUAUGUUUCCUGAAAGACUCCACAAGGGGUGCAAAUCUGGAAAGUGACGAAGCUAAAUGCCAUGAAAUGUCUCACCCCUGACUGGACUGUUACACUCCUACAUGCUUUCUCUCCCCCAGUUCCAGUGCCCUCUUGAGGAAGAGUUUCACUAGAUUAAGCAAAAUGAAGAAAAUGCAGUAACUAGCUCUAACUCAGUUUAAAUUUUACUAUAAAAUAAAGUUAUCUAUCAAAUGUUUAAAACCUCCAGGCAGAGACCCCUGAUCACAAUGUGGGUAUCUACAGCCUCCUGAACUGUAUUUUCAGUCCUCUGCACUAAUUUGGUCUCAACUGUUUUUAAAAUUAACAAACACAGAAGACGGAUGCAUUUAACCACGACAAUAUUUCACAAUAACUGAAGUUGGUCAGUGGCACAAACACUGUGUGUGAAUAUUGGUGCUACCACCCUUGCUUCACGCUUGGAUUUGGCAUUCCACAACAGAAACAAGUCACAUGACAGGAGCAUCACAGACUAAUUAGCACAGAGAGAUUGCCCCUUCACACUCUGGCUGCUAAUGAGAACUGGAGGUGAACCAUGGGCUCCUCCAAAAAAACAACAAACCCUCCCCAGCAAAAUAGAACCAGUAACUGUGUCAGCAGGGAGCUUGUUUGUGAUGCUUUUUACAGAGACACCCAUCAUGGUCAGUACGUUAUUAACAGCUAUUUUAAGUGACUGAAUAUUCUCCUGAUCUGCUACUCCACAGCUAUAUUUUGGAAUUAACCGUGCAAAACUGUGGCCAAGUACAUCAUUAAUCUCUGUUGCCUGGAGGCUUGGCACUUGAAGGAUUGCAAUUUUAAUUUUAUUCUUCAGCCUUUUUUAGGAAACAGAUUAUGAUAGAGGCUGGAAAAAGAAGCCAAAAGCAGCACAAGGACUAGGGCAAGCUACUACAAAGCAAAACUGGAACUACAAAGAUACCUGUUGUUCUGGAAAGGCCACUUAUUAUUGACUUUCUGAAAGUCACAUGGAAAAAUAAACACUUUCCCAUCAUAGUCCAGAGCCCAGCCUGUCUGGAUUUGAAACAGGUUUUGCAGAUCUCAUUUGCAUUUGUACAAAGCAUUUUUCUUAGAAGAAAUGGUACAGUCUGCUCCAAACUUGUGUUUCAAAACCUAGUUUUCCACUUCAGACACUACUCUCUGGCUUUAAUCAAUAGAUACCUCAUAGUUUUCAUACUGUCAAAUAGCAAGUACAACCUGUAUACUACUUACAGGUUUAAUUUCUCCCUUACAAUCUAUACAUUUUUCAGAUUAAAAAGGAAGAACAGACCUGAUGACUAACUGGUACUGGAAAAUAUGUAUUAGACAGUUUUAUAAUUAAUGUAAGAUAAACUUAUGGAAGAAAUAACGUUAAAGGGAUUUUCAUUCAGGUUUUCUAACACGGCAGUGCCUGGUACCGCAUGAAAUCCUCUUAUAACAGCAUACAGUUUAACUACAGAAGUGACAAGUGCAUCAUUUCAAGAAACUAACUUGGAAGCCAAAGUCCUGGCACUUCUAGCUCAGCCCCUGCCCCAAGUCACCUUGUCUGCCCUGGAAGGACUGAACUACGAGCGUCCCACCACAGCCAGCCAGCCACAAUCCAGCUGCUCUCCACUGCAGCUGCACUGAGCUGCAGGUCCUGGCAGCCGCAGGACAAGCGCUCAAGGCCAGCUGCAGCAGAGCAGCCGGGGUGAGCCAGCAGACCCCAGCUACCUACAAGGACAGGGAGAGUGCAGUGUCCAUCCCCGCUGUCCCAGCACCGCAGCCUUGCUCUGCGGCCAACAUCCCCACGGCAGGGCCCUCCCUGACCCUCGCCUCGCCCAGUGCCGCCCCUGCUCUGCGGCACAACGGGCCCUGCAGAAGCAGCUGCUGUACGGAGUCUAUGCUGGGACCGGUGUCUUGUGGACAUGGCUCACUCUACAGGCUUAAAUAAACAUAACAGAAAUUAGGAAUUACUGUCUCCUGUGCUUGGGCUGCUGGCCAUUCAUGCCAUAGAAAACCCCAGAAUUCAUUUAAACUUCUCCAUAUUUGCAGGACUUGUCUUUGUAUCCCCACUACGCAUCUCUACAUAACCUUCAUGAAAAAUUGAAGUACCACAUCAUUUAUUAGGUACAUAUUUUAGAAAACAAACAUGAAAGCAAUAAAAAUAUGGAAACGGUUGCUCACUUUUUUCUUCUUUGGAAAAAAAAAAACCUGAAAGCAGUGCACCCAGUAUUUGAAGGCACUACUUGUUUGAGAGGUAACAACUUUAACAGUCAUAUACUGUUCAUUCAAUGUGCUGAAAGCCAUUUAAGAAAAAAUAUAGUAGUUCUAAUUCAGCACAAAAAUAUUUGGGUUGAAAUGUCAUUCCUCUAUUUCCUUCACCGAAUGAAGUACAUCACUUUCAUUCAUCACCAUAAUUAAACUAUUGAAAGGCAUGAAAGAAGUACAGCAAGAGGGAUGGACAUUUUACUGUAGAAUCAAUGGGCAAUAUAACACACUACAGCAACUAAUACAGCCCUGCAGAAUUUGAAGAGCGACUGCUCCCCAUGCUAACCCAAGCCAUAGCUCCUUCAUUCGUACAUCCAAUCUAUGAGAUUCCCCCCUGUUCCUUUUCCAGACUUUCCACGAUCUCCCUCUGAAUCAUAGGGGGAAUACCAAGACAGGUAGAAACCUCCUGCACUAGAUACACAGCCAAAUAAAUUCUGUCUGAUUCGUGGUCUGAACAGAAGUUCACUACAUUUAGUUAAACCAUACCAAGUAGCACUCCAGGGGGAAGGAAGCUCACCCACACCAGGCCAACACUGGCAUCCCUGAGCUGUGCCCUGCCCCUCUGCCAACUUAAGCCCCUGGGCUACAGAGGAGUACCCCAUGAUAGUGGGCUAAAGAACUCUGCACAUGUAGAAAAAGCAUGGACUCUCCUGACACAAUCCCUAGUAAAAAUUUCAGAGAACAAGUACAUGAACAGCCAUCAAACACACACUUCAACAGCCUGAAGCCACUUGCAUGCUAAAGCACAGUUCAAAUUAUUCCUUCACUCUUAAAACCAUCAUAGCCCUGGGCUAAAUGCCUAUAAUGGGAUCCACAGUUUGAGUAAGACUUUUUUCUUCAAGCCAUGAACUUAAUGACAGAAGCAGAUGUGUCACUGAGUACAUGACGCAUUAAGCCCCCCACGCCUUCGAAUUAACUGAAAACACAGGCACUCAAAUCACUUGGAAGAACAUCACGCCAAUAAGGUAUUUUCCUAGGAGACACGUCAUACAAAUGCCCGUGCAGCUGGGAUGCUCAAAGAGCCUUUUUUUACAUUCCAUGCAGAUACUCAAACACUGAUCAAACAGAUCAACAGAAAUAAAUGAUACAUCCACAAGAAACUGCUCUUUAUACACAUCUAUGGAAGAGGAAACCAUUGUAUUUUACUAUGAUUACAAACUGAGAAUUUCAACCAGCUUUUAAAGCUUAAGACCAAGAUUUUUUGAAAAAUAACUUAUGUUUGAGAUUAUGCCAAGCAACCCACUGCAUUCUCUUACUCUAUAUACUGCUACUCUCCACAUGCACACAUACCUAAUUUUACAUGCAUCCCCUCAUACAUUUUCUCUUUUGCCACUCCUCACAUUCUCACUUGAGUGGAAUCUAGAAUUAAUUCGUUUUUUUCAGGUUAUUUUUAAAACCCUAUGUUCCUGUAAGCUGCAAGUUGUUCAAGGGUAUUGCACCUAUUUCUAGGACUGGAUCUGGUCUGACAACAAAAGUAUUCUUCCACUAUAUGCAGGAACACAGCUUGGCUGGGAAGAGAAACAGCUUACACCUUUCACCAAUAUUCUGGGAGCACAGUACAUAAUUAUCAAACAUUUCUCUAGCAGAAAAAUAAACUGAGUGGAUAAAACAGAUUACAGGGACUUGUAAAACUAUGCCAUAUUUGUAGUAGCAGCUACAGGGGUUGGCUGUAUAAGAAAAAAAUACACCAAAUAUAUUUUAGCAUCUUUGGCCAAGAAAAUAUGGUUUUCACUUGAGGGUUUUUUCACACUACACAAACAUGGAUAAUUAAAAUGGCUUUUCAUGCACUCUGCUAGACAUCACUAACAUCUAAGAGCCAGGAGACUGAACAACUAUGCAGCUUCAGCUGCACCAAUGACAAAGUACUACUAAGCUAAUCAAUCUUUAUCAUUCCCUUAGCAGAGUAUUGUGAAAAGAGCAGUAAGAAAAGGACACAAAAAAUUCAACCUCAUGAUGGUGUCUUGCCAUCUGCAACAGCUGGUUGCCACUUCUGACUACUUCCAGUAUAAACAUGCAUUUCCCUCAGACCUUUGACCUAUGCAUGUGCUGACAGCAAACAAUCCCAGGCAAUACAGGAGUGAGUUGUUCCCAGCAUAUCUGAAAUUCUUUUUUUUUGAAAGAUGUAUUUUAUAAACCUACUUUUGAGAAAGGUAACAAUGACAGAUGAAAUUAAGAAGAAAUUAAGAAAUUAAGCACACAGAGUUCCAUUUCCAAAAAAAAAAAAAAGAAAGUCAUCUUCACUAAAAAGGAAGUAACAUUCAGUCUAAGAAAAUUCUGCCAUUCCUAUGGACACUAUCAGCAAACUCAACAAUGCUAAUCGUUCCUAUAUACUGUUCUCUAUAUCUUAGAUGAUCUCCAAACUCCUUGAAAAUAGAAAACAAAUGCAAGGAACACAGCUGAAAAGUACCCUAGAAAUUCACUAACUGGCAGUGAAAUACAGUGCAGGAUCUGUCCCUGUUACCCCAGAGGGACUAGCGUACAUUUUUAUGCUGUAGAUGGCAUCUUGACAGGGCCCAAUCCAUAAAACCCUUCUUUUCUCCUUGAUUGAGCAGACCUUCUCCCUUCCUAACACAGCCUAAUCAUCCUCACAUACAUUAGCUCAACUCCUUGAAGGAAAUCAACAUUAGGAAAUUACAUAUUUUUAGAUGCAGUUCUGUAAGAGGAAACAAGAAAAACAAUCAUUGCUGCAGCUGAUCCAAAAAUGAUCAAUGCAUACUAGUAAGUGCUCCAAAACUCAAAAUGCAAGCAGCAGCACUUUUUGCCUUGCGCUGUUAUUUUGAUACAAAAAUCUGUCUCAGGUACUCCACAGCAGAAUACACACAAGCCUGUCCUUUCAGAUAAAACAAUAUAACUCCACUUUUCCAAAGUCUCUUUUCCACAGAAAUUGCUAAGGAAUUCUCAAAAUAAUCUUAGAAAAUGUGAUACUCACAAUACAUUAAACCCAAGGAAAGCACAUUUUAACAAGAAUACAAUACUUUUUAUGCCAGGACUGCUUAAAGGAGCUUUAUUAACCUAUGGUAUAGUUAAUUUAUUUUUAACAUACAGAAUUAUUCCCUUAAAAAUGGAAGUAAAAUCUUUUUUCAAAGUUUGCAUUUGUUUUUCUAAGCUACAUUCUUCUCCCAUUACUUUCAAAGGAGUAACUUGCUUAUGUAUAUUGCAGUCCAAAAUAUUCAGUGCUAAUAAAAUAAUUAUUCAA